rnacentral:misc_RNA from 1 species
GAAAUUCAAUCAGUAGCGGGAAUUAGCAGAACUAUUAGGCGGAAAACAUAACAUUAAACCCUUAUUGUUAUCAGGAAAUAAAGG